UCGCGUAACCUGGGUAUAUGGGGUGGGAUAAAAUGAUUAUGACUUUUAAGAAAAAUUAUUUCAAAUAAAUUUUUUUUUAUAUAUUUUGGACGAAUCCCUUUUGCCCAUCAUGUACAAGUAACGCCCAAAAUACCAAUGUCCGGGUAGAAAUUGUUGAACAUAAUACAGUGCAGACUCGAUAAUCCGAAUUCUUCAGUAGUCCGAACAAGCAUUUUCAAUACAUUGGAUACCUGUCCUUUUAGGUCUAUUUCCUAUAGAAAUUAUGACUAGAAGUUCAGGGAUUCCAACAACACAAGACAUUGUCCUUAAAACAAAAAAGUGAAAUUAUUGAAAGAGUUGUGCAUGAGUGCCGCUGAGUUUGAGGUUGGAAGAUCCACAAUCUGUGACAUAAAACAGAAAAAGUCUAAAAUCGACAGGUAUAUUUCCAAAGUCCUUGAUCACCAUUAUGGCUGGCUCCGAGACCUUUGGAUAAGCUGAAGAGCCCUUCUCUGCACCUGUGCUAGUCUUCUGCACUCCUCCAUAUCAAAUCGACUGGACUGUGCUCAUGAGCAGCCGUCUCUUACUCGACGUUAGACAUCAUCAGCUUCAAGACGAAUCUAGACGGUUAUUCCAAGUUCUUAGCUAUGUCUUCGUUUCUAAUGUAGCACUUGAAUGGGAAUUUUAAGAAUUAUAACUUCGGUCAACGACAGCUGUUAACCACCUGAUGCAGUUUUAGCUAGACCAGCUCCAGAUCGCGAGCAGCAAAAAGUGCAACCGCAAGAAUAGAAAAAUUAAUGUUUUAGAGAGUUUUUUUUUUUAGUAGCAUGGUAUUUUUGUAUAGAUUUCAAACCUUUUUAGAGUGAUAAAGCUGUGGAAUAAAUAAAUGUACCCGAUAUAUUCGAAAUAUUAAUAAAACGCGCAGUUCGACCUA